GUGUGGUAUGAAAGGAGAGAAGUUUAGUAUUCCCCUUGACAAGGAUGGAAGAGGCCCUUGGGCCUAACAUGUAUAUGGUUAAAACAUUACCACCUACUUUGUGGCAUCUAACCACUGUUUUAA
ensembl:snRNA